CCAGCUUCAGAUCCAAUUGACAGGCUUUCGGGGUCCAGCUUCAGGUCCAACUGACAGGCUUUCGGGCUUCAGAUCCAACUGACAGGCUUUCGUGGUCCAGAUCCAACUGACAGGCUUUCAGGGUCCAGCUCCAACUGACAGGCUUUCGGGGUCCAGCUCCAACUGACAUGCUUUCGGGGUCCAGCUCCAACUGACAGGCUUUCGGGGUCCAGCUCCAACUGACAGGCUUUCGGGGUCCAGCUCCAACUGACAGGCUUUCAGGGUCCAGCUCCAACUGACAGGUUGAAUACCAUGUGCCUUUUUGUUGUUGUUGACGAUUCUAUCAGCCAAUCAGGGCCUGUAUCCACAAAUCAUCUCAGAAAAGGUCCUAGGAAUCCUGUUAAACCUUGUUUUAAGAAGAAGAAGAAGAAUUCACCUCAGAGUUGGUUAUAGGAUGAAGUUAAGACACUGCUCAGACAAACUGAGCCAGGAGUAAAAUCAACUCUUAAAAGUUUAUAUCAGCUGAUAAUCACGACAGUUUGAGGUAACGCAAAGGAAAGCUAGUGACGCUCAGACAUUGUUGCAAAUGAUGGGGAAUAACCAAUCGCGAUGAGGCAUCGCCAGCUGUGAACAUUACAUCAUGCUUCAGACAACUACGGUGAACGUGACUACAUCAAAUAUUGCAAUGGUAAAACUUUUGAUAUAAUUUUCACCUGACACGAUCACUUUGCCUACUCUUAAUUCUUGCCUAAUAUGAUGACAUAUCUGUGAUAAUGCCUUAAAUCAUCUUUACUUGACAGGAAGUAGUGAAGCUGUGUGUAAUGUAAUGUUAACCCUUUUUUUACCAAGUAUUCUAAAAUCCAUUUAAUCAAAGUGAGGGUAUCAGAUUUACAGAAAAUGUAAAGUGUUACCAUAGUGAGACGUUUUUCUACGUGAUCAUGUAUUGUUUUGUGCAAUAAAAGUACUGUACUUUA